rnacentral:sRNA from 1 species
UUGGUUAUGUAUUAGAUCUAGAUAUGCGCUGUUUUUGGGGUUUGGUUAUGUAUUAGAUCUUGAUAUGCGCUGUUUAAAAACAAACUUUAUUAUCAUCACGAUGAUUAGGUGGUGCCCACAUCCAGGUCGGUGUCUGCGGUUGGCUAGUUGGAGAUCCUGGCGAUCUGGUGAAAAAUGUUGGAAGUUAUACAGGAGAACUUCAAGAGGUCUAUUUAUCCAGAUGUUUUGAGUACGGCCAAUAGCGGACAAGAAAACAUCGUUUCCAGUAUUUUGGUGUGGACAUUUUUCAAUCAAAUCUAUUGAUAUGUUACUUUUUUUAAAAAUGCUUAUCUAGUUUUGAAAUAUUACUCACAAAUAAGAGUCCGAAACUCAACAUUGUUCCAUAUAAUGGGUACCAGAUUGUUUAGAUUUAAAAAGAAAAAAUGUAAGAAAUAUCUAUGCGUCAUGGGAAAGAGAAAUCAGCCAAUGUUUAUAUUGUGUGUUUUAUCCUAUCCUUAACUUCAAAAUGCUUUGUCUCUUCGUUAUAUUAGUCAUCUACUGUUUAGAAUAUUUUACAGUAUAUAAAUACAGCAAUCUUGUUCUCACAGUGUGCGCUGAAUUUUAAAAUGAUUUCUUUAAUAAGAAUCCAAAUGUGAUUGCGUCUUCCAAAUAUUUAUAUUGAAUUGCUCAAUGUUUGACUAUCACUCAAGGGAGAACACUAAUUUAAAAAAGGGUAUUUAAUUAUAUCAUUAAAGAGUUGUCUCUCUUGACGUUUUCACAUUUAACAAUAUUUUAAAAUCAUUGUUAACGAUUACAUCAUAUUUAUGAUACUGGAAAAAUUUCUGAAAUUGCCAUUGAAAGUUACAUACAGAAAUUCAUGAAGAGAUGCCAUUUGCUUUAUUUAUAUGAUUCAUCAUGGUAGAGGCUUAUUUGAAAAGGAAUGAUUGCCUCAAAUGUGUUUCAAUGAGAUCUAGGAUUAUCUUUAGAAUGAGAACCACGUCAAUUGUCAUCAAUAAUAUUUAGGAAUAUUGAUAUGCAUUACAAUUUAUUUUGAUAUUUUUUUUUGGUUUUAUUUUGCAUGUUUAAAAAUUUGAUGGAUUGAAAUUAGACCAAAUAUUUCUAUUCCCCUACAAAAGAAGUUUAAAAAAAUGAAAGCAAUAUAA